rnacentral:lncRNA from 1 species
UGAAUCAACCAUUAGAGGAAUGCUUCAAUACAUCAUAAAUACUAAACAUGCUACCCGUUUCGUUUAUUUCUCUUAAAAAUAAACUUAGAUGGAAAUGUUAAUCAACUAAGAUUCAAACUUGGAAUCUCGGAUACCAACUACCAAACCCUUUGCCAACACAAUGGCACUGUGUGCAGACUACCAGGUGCAACUGCAUGUAAAGAUCCGUCGAGUUACGUAAGUUGGGAUGGUGUUCACUUACAAACUACAACAGAAUUAGAUUAUAUAGACAAAUUUUUUGGGCACGUUUAUGUAAUUGUUCAAUUUAUGCCAAAAUUUUUUUAAAAAAUCUACUAAGGCCUAAAUAUAAAACCCAAUCUAAUCAAAAACAAAAAAUUCUCUACUCAACCAACCCCACCCAGCCCACUCGGCCCGAAUACAAAUGGAAAAGGGAAAAAAAAAAAAGAAAAAAAAAAUGAUCACCAUUUUCUCUUCUCCUCUUUCACCGCCGCAGCCGAUGAGGUAGGGUUCCGGCAGCUGGAGUUCAACCACGAGGAUCUCGUAGGGACCAUAGAGGGCUAUGAUCGCCAUGUAUCCUCCACCACAGGUCGCUGGAAGAGUGGGUGCCAAAUAUCAAGGCUGACCCAUAUAUAGCGAUCCCAUAUAUAGCAAUACUUUUAAAAAGUAUCGGUAAUUUAGCCAACAAUAUUUUUUUUUUACAUAUACCGAUUUACAUAUACCGAUAUGUAAAAGUAUUGCUAUACACCGUUUUUAUUGUAAUUUUCAUACAAACA